AGCUGCCAGAUUUCGGAGUUUCAGUGUGUCCAUGCCCAGGGAAGUAAGGCGUUCAGAAUAUGGCAAAUGCCUGAUUGAGGGUAUUCUCUUGGUUGCACGUCGCUGAACGGUUUCCAAACGAUUAAUAUCCCGGGCAAGAUAGGGGUUAUAUAGACAAGACCAGUGAUGAAAAUUCCU